AGGAUUUUCAGUCCAUUGAAGCCUAUGUGAAAAGAUUGAAGUCCAUCGCCGAUUCUCUAGUAGAAAUCGGCGAUGAGAUCUCAAAUUCAGACAAGGUGUUGCAACUUCUUGCUGGUUUGCCUAAUCAAUACUUACCCCUCAAAAACAUAAUAUCAUCAAGGUGUCCUCUCCCCAAUUUUGAAGAAGCUUCUUCCAUGUUGUACAUGCAGGAGGACAUAUUAUUACAUGUAAGCAAAGGGGGAAAAAAAUUUACUCUAUAUUCAAAAGGCAUAAUACAUAAACAUGACAUUUAAUUUGGCGACAGCUGAUAAUUAUGAUCUUUAAUUUUGAAUAUGCACAAGUAAAUACUUAAAUUUAUAUAAAAUUGAACACAUUCGUCCUACAUGACACCUUACAUGACAAUAUCGUGUCCUACAUGGCAUCCUAUGCCUAUUAUGUCACGUAGGACAAAUAUGUUUAUUUGUUCAAUUUUAUACAAAUUUAAGUACCUACUUGUGCACAUUCAAAAUUAAAGAUCAUAGUUAUCCGUUAAAACCAAGUUAAGGAUCAUGUUUAUAUCUUAUGCCUAUUCAAAAUUACAAAUAUUCUUAUUAUGAGCUAAUUUACGGUUGCAGGAUCCCAGUGUUGUUGGUGCAGAGCAAUCGUCGUCUGGUUUUUGUACAGUAGAUAAGUUUGUUGAUGUAGUGGAGACAUUGGGUACUGUAGUAGCUGCAGCUGGUACAUUGGGAUUGGGUACUGUCUUUGCUGCUCCAUUGGGUACUGUGGUUGGUGCAGUUGGUGCAUCCAGGAUGAUUGUAUUUGGAGCAGUAAGUGCCAUGUCUGGCUGGAAAAAUUGGCAAGCACUCCGUCGCAAGUAAUUAAUCGGUUGAUUUCUUGUAUGGUCACUUAAUUAAUAGUUAUUUCGUUUGUGUAAUCAAAAGCUUGAUUUGCUACUUCUAUUUAAAGUUUGUCUUGAGAUGUAUUAUGAUAUGCAGUUGAAGUUCUACACAAACUUUCAUUUGUGUUUUGCAAUAUUUUGAUUUUCCUUUUGAGGUGUGUAUGGUAUGGAGGUAUAUUUUUGGGAAAAUGGUCUGAAAAGUAUUUUAACUUUGAUCGAAAUUAUUGUUACGAUAUCAAAUUUUAUGGAGGAUUUUUUACCUCUACACUAUUUAAUAGUGGAUUUUAAAGGUAUAUAUGUACCUAGUGGACACGUUACUAUUUAUAAUGAUGCAAUAUUUAUGAUGUUCACAUGGACAUAUAUAUACCUUUAAAAUACACUAUUAAAUAUUGUUACAACAAUUUCGAUCAAAAUUCGGAUAUAUUUCAGAUCAUUUUCCCUAUAUUUUUUGGUAAAGGAUUAAUUAAUCUCCGUAAUAGACCCAGAUUAGUUGAAGAGAAUAGUUUUAGAUUCCGUUUGGAUAAGCUGGAAAAAAAUGAGUAGUUUUUAAGUCAAAAAAUUAAAAAUUAAAAAAUUUAGAAAUAAUUUCAGAGACCUUCCCUCACAUUUAACUUUAUAACACUUACUUCCCUUGUGGUUUCAGAUAUUACACUCAUCUCCUUAUUUUUAAAUUUUUGUAACCAAACUUAUUUAAAUGAUAAUCUUUCAACAACAUUCCAAAAAUACCCUUUUAUAACAUUAAUAUAAUUAUUUAAUACUUCUAUAGUUCUUUAUGACUAAUAACAUAAGCAAUAUUUCGUUCCAGUUUUUAAUACUAUAUUUGAGUUUCUUUUAAGGUUGGAUUCAUAAUACGAGAAACGAUACGGUAUAAAUCAAUCGGUAAAUUCUUUUUUUUGAUAGAAAAAUGCAACCUGCAUACUUGACCUCCAAAUAUUUGUAUAAACAUUUUUUUUUUCAUUUGACAUGCGAUAAUAAAUGUUUAGUUUGAUAAUUUUUUAGACUUAAGAAAAAAAACAAUUAUGUUCAUAUAUAUAUAUAAAAAAAAAAAAUCUGCACAUAAUUACCAGACAAUAUUUCCCGACCCUAAACAAUAUUUUUAUAAUAAAUUUUCAACAUUCUUUUUGUACUUAAAAUAUUGCAUAUGUCUUAACCGUAAAAAUUACCACUAAAUUUUAAUAUGUUUAAGAAGUUCCGUCAUUUUAGCAAGUUCGAUAGUUUACAAGGAAAUAAAUAAAUGUAUAUAAUGAAAGACGGUGCGCGGUGGAGCACCAUAGGUAGAGUAUUUUAUUUCAGCUAAAAUAUUUUGGAAAUUUUCAUUUCAAAAAUUAAUAAAAAAUAAUGUUAAGCAAGGGGCAACUUUGGAAUAUUGGAUGAGUUUUAAUGAUUAAUAAAAAAUAAUGUCAAGAAAGGGCAACUUUGGAAUAUUAGAUGGGUUUUAGCAUUAAAACUAAUUUGGUUACAUAAAUGUGAAAAUAAGGGAGGUGAGCGUAAUAUCUAAAACUAGAAGGGAAGAUAGUGUUAUAAGGCUAAACUUGAGGGGAGGUCUCUGAAAUUAUCCUAAAAUUUUAAAUAAUUUUUAAGUCAAAAAAUGAAAAGUAAGAGAGCCUACUUUUGAUUUUUAAUUUAUUUGACAUUAUUUUUAACUUUGUCAAAACACUUUCAACAACUAAAAACACAUUAAAAAUAGGUUUGAUCAACUUUUAAAUUCAUCCAAACAUGUUAGUUUGAUGUAUCGAUCAAAUUUCGACUUACAUGCAUUGAUGCAAACAUCCAGGUGAGAAGGGAAUGUAAGUCAAGAUAAGCUAUAAUUGUGUUGGUGUUGUCAUUGAAAUCAAGAGAAAAUAAUUAAAAUGGUCUUUUGGUAAUGUUUUAUUUUGGUUCUUAAUAUAUUUUUAGGAAAAAUACUUAAAUAUGUCAUUGAAUUUUGAGAAAAUGUUCAUCAAUGUCAAAUCUAAAAAUUUGGUUCGUCUAUGUCUUUUCUGUUUGAGAAAAAGUUCAUCCAUUUUUUGUCAAAAUUCAAUGACAUAUUUGAGUUUUUUCUCUUUAAAAAUGAUUUAAUUAACAAUGUGGCUGAAUCAUAAUUGACCACGUGUAAAAAAAUAAUUUUGAAAAAUUGAAAUUAUUUUUAACAAAUAAUGGCAUGGAUGAGUGUUUUUCAAAUGAAAAUGGCAUAGAUGGGCCUUUUCUCAAAGUUUGAUGACAUAUUUAAGUCUUUUUUCCUAUAUUUUACAUGAUUGAAAUAAUACUUACUUAAUAACAAAAGUUAUUCAUUUGGGUCCUAAAAUUAAACCUAAUAGGGGCGGGCCCACGUUGAGCGAAUGGGUGUCAAGCGAAUCCCCGAAAAAUUUAACUAAAGUUUUUUAUAUAUAUAUAUAUAUUAACUAAGAAAUUUUUUAUUUAAGCAAAUAUGAUUAUGUCUUUCCAAUCCUUUAAUCCACCUUGUUUGCACAUCUACCUAUUAGAGCCUCUGUUCCGAUCAUUCAAUAUCCGUAUCUUUCAUACUAUAUUUAUCUAAAUUAUACAUAAAAUAAAUUUAAGAUACUAUUUUUUUAUAUAUAUAGCAAACACAAAAAAUAAUUAAAUUAUUUUCUUACCGUAUCAAACAUGAUCAAAGUAACGAAUUUUUUGCUUUAGGAAAUUGUACGGAGCCAAUAAUGUGUAAGGCAGUUUGGUCAUAUCGCGAAUUAAUAAAUUUUUUUUAUUAUAUGCAACAAUUUUAUUGUUACUAAACUAUAGGACUUGCGUGAAAUUUGUGUUCCAAUAUGAAAAGUAGAUCAAGGAAAAAGACAAAAAUAUGUCUAUUUCAUUAUAGCUUUUAUUUCCCUCAGACCUAAAGACCAAGUCAGCUCAUUUUCUAUCAACCAAUAUGACUUACUUCACGAGUAAGUUAAUUCAGAUACGUAUUCUUCUCCUUUUUCAAUUUAUGUCAUAUUAUUUAAACUGAUAAGGAAUUUAAGAAAUAAAUAAAUAUUUUAAAAAUUCGUUAUAAAUACUUUUAAUAUUGCUAUCUCAAUAUAAAUAGCAAUAUUUAAUUCUGUAAAAAAAAUGAAAAAUGAAAAAAUAAAUUAAAAUUUAUUGUUUAAAUAAAUUUUAGAUAUUUAUAUAUAUAAAUCAUUUUAUUUAUUAAGGUAAUAGAUAAAUUUUGAAUUUAAGCUAUUUAUUAUUAUAUAAAAAUGAGUUAUUUAAAAAAUAUAUAUAGUAUCAUAUAAAAUAGGCAAACAGUAUUUUCUUUGAUCACAAUUUGUUAAAAUAAUUUUUAAAAUAUCAUUCUUUUAAGAAACAUAUGUUGUAUAUAUAAUAUAAAUAUGAAAAUUUUAUCUUAAAAAUUAGUAAAAAAUUCAACAUCUAAAAUCACAUUAAAAAAAUUAAAGAUUCUAACACCUAAAUUCAAAGUGAAAGAUGUUUUUUGAAGAUUGGUUUAUAUUUGAAUUAACAUCAAAAUUUUAAACAGUAAGAGUUUGUUUGACCGAGGAACAAGUUGUUUUGAGAUUAAUUAUUUAAAAUCAUCAUUUCCUUCUCUAUGUGGAAUAAAAAUAACAUUAUUAACUAAUCUAAUCAUCUUAUCAACAUAAAAAAAACGAGAUAAAUUCAUCUUAAAAUUAAUUUCAAAAUUAAUUAUUUCUUAUCAUUAGUACCAAACGAGCCAUAACACACUAAUUCAAACAGUACUACAGGGUUCAUAUUUUAAAGGGUGGAAGUCUACUCAGAGAAUAAGAAGAAAAACCGGAGAGAUAGAAGCAGAGUUCAGUCAGGUAGAAACUUUAACAAUGAAUUUUCCAAUUGAAGAAUCUGAUAAAAAAAUAAAUCAAAAUUUACAGUUUAAAUAAAUGUUACGAUAUUUAUAUAGAUAUUAAUCAUUUUAUUAAGGUAAUAUAUAAAUUUUGAAGUUAAGCUAUUUAUUAUUAUAUAAAAAUAUUUUUUUAAAAAAAAAACUAUAUCAUAUAAAUUAAGAUAGAAAAAAUUAUCAUCUUCCUUAAAACGCAUGGAAAGAAAAAAGCAUCAUGUAAAGAAAGUUGAUAUUCUGAAUAAUACAUUUCUUGACUUCACCCACCAAUAAAGUUAUUAAAAAUAAAAGGUAACCAAUAAUGUUGUCUCAUCGUACUACUUUAAAUCUUUUAUCGUAAAGUACAAAAUAUACUAAUAAAAUGUUGCUAUCCAGUCCCUCAUUUUCUCCCUAUAAUUUUUUCAUAUAUAAUUGUAUUACUUUAAUAAUACUUGUAUGGAGAAAAUUCUCUUAAGAGUGUCACCCCCAAAUGAGCUCUGUAGAGCGCGAUCCAAAAUUAGUUGGAGCUUCAAGGUGGACUACAAACACCGGGUGAGAAACAAAAAAAAAACAACUAAUUUUGUAGUGCUAUUUUUAAAGAGUUACUUGACAAUAAGAAUUAUAUAAGGUAAAAACAAUAGACAAACCAUGUGAUUAAAAUAGGGAAAAUUAUGCAGAUAAGUAAAUAUACACUAGUUAAUUAACUAAUAUGGUUAUAAUUUGAAUUAAUUAUCACUUGCCGCCUUUUUUUAGUUAUAAUUACAUACACCUCUUUCACCUUUUUCCUCUCUUAUACAUACAAAUACAAAUUAUACAUAUACAUAUACAAUUAUAUGAUAGAUAUAUGAAUACAAUUCAUCUCUCUCCACUCUCUGCUCUCUCCUCCUUCUCUCAAUCUCGCUCGCAUCUCUCUUCCUUCUCCCACUCUCGCUCGCCUCUCUCCUCCUUCUCCCAAUCGUGCUCACCAAAUAUUCAAAUACAUACGUAUACCAGUUACAUAUAUACAAUUAUCUGACAUAUAUACAUAUACAAUUCGACAGAUAUGCAAAUACAAUUCACCUCUCUCGCUCGAUUCUCUCUUCCCUCUUCAAUCUUGUUCGCCUCUCUUCUCCCUCUAACAUGUAGAUACAAAUCAUAAUUAGCAAACUAUAACUAUGAUGCCUAAUAAAAUUAAUUUUAAUGGCUAUUUACAAAAUUUCUCCGUUAAAAUAAAAGUUUAUUUCUCUUUGGAUACACGAUAAGUGGCACUAGCCUGUGCAUAUCUCUGAUGGCAAGUAAACGACAGAGGAAGGAGGAAUCUAUGGCUAAACCCCAACUUAAUUAUGAGAUUAUAAUCUAUAAUGCAAAAUGAUUUAUUUUUUUUUGGUUUCAAUCUAUAUCUGCUACUAUUAAAAUAGGCAAACAGUAUUUUCUUUGAUCACAAUUUGUUAAAAUAAUUUUUAAAAUAUCAGUUUUUUAUGUACUCAUAAUAUAUAAAUGUGAAUAUUUUAUCUUAAAAUUUCUUUUACAUAAAUAUAUCAAACACAAAAAUUAAUUAAAUUAUAUUCUUACCGUAUCAAACAUGAUCAAAGUAAAGAAUUUUUUGCUUUAGGAAAUUGAACGGAGCCAAUAAUGUGCAAGGCAGUUUGGGUCCCAUCGUGAAUUAACAAACUUUUUAUUAUUGUUACCAAAAUUAUUGAACUUGAGUGGAAUUUACAGUCCAAUAUGAAAAGUAGAUCGAUGAAAAAGACAAAAAUAUGUCUAUUUCAUUAUAGCUUUCAUAUUCCCUCCAAUCUAAAGACCAAGUUAGCUCAUUUUCUGUCGAUCUAUAUGACUUACUUCACCAGUAAGCUAGUUCAGAUAUGUAUUAUUCUCUUUUUUCAAUUUAUUUCAUACUAUUUGAACUGAUAAGGAAUUUAAGAAAUAAAUAAAUACUUUAAAAACUCGUUAUAAAUACUUUAAAUAUUGAUUUCUUAAUAUAAAUAGCACUAUUUAAUUCUGUACAAAAUUUAAAAAUGAAAUAAAAAAGAUUUUUUAAAAUUUAUAGUUAAAAUAAAUUUUAGAUAUUUAUAUAGAUAUAAAUCAUUUUUAUUUAUUAAGGUAAUAGAUAAAUUUUGAAGUUAUGCUAUUUAUUAUUAUAUAAAAAUGAAUUAUUUUUUUUAAAAAUAAAUUAUAGUAUCAUAUAAAAUAGGCAAACAUUAUUUUCUUUGAUCACAAUUUGUUAAAAUAAUUUUUAAAAUAUCAUUUUUUUAUGAAACAUAUGUUGUAUAUAUAAUAUAAAUAUGAAAAUUUUAUCUUAAAAAAUACUAAAGAAUUCAACAUCUAAAAUCACAUUAAAAAAAUUAAAGAUUCAACACCUAAAUUCAAAGUGAAAGAUGUUUUUUGAAGAUUGGUUUAUAUUUGAAUUAACAUCAAAAUUUUAAACAGUAAGAGUUUGUUUGACCGAGGAACAAGUUGUUUUGAGAUUAAUUAUUUCCUUCUUUAUGUGGAAUAAAAAUAACACUAUUAACUAAUCUAUUGAUCUUAUCAAAAUAAAAAAUAAAAAAAAGAUAAACUCAUCUUAAGAUUAAUUUCAAAAUUAGUUAUUCCUUUUCAGUAGUACCAAACGAGUCAUAACACACUAAUUCAAACAGUACUAAAGGGUUCAUAUUUUAAAGGGUGGAAGUCUUCUCAAAGAAAAGAGAAAAGACAUAAAGUCAUCACUAAAAUUGUUGCAAAUUUUCAAAAAGAUACUUUAACUUUGCAAUCGUCCUAUUACCUCACUAAACAAUUUUGAACAUAUAUUAUUAUAUCAUUUUUUUUAUCAAUCCCAGAUUUUAAAAAGCAAGUGUGUUCACACACCAAUCAUUACAUAACACGUGUUAAUUUUAUUUUCAUUUUAACUUUUUUCUUUAUCUGUCUUUCUUUUUUACUUAUUUUAAUUUUAAUUUCAUCUUAAAUUCAUCUUCCACCUCCCACUUUCAAGUGAUUCAUCCCUCCAUUUUCUUUCGUUUUCUUCACCUCCCAUCCUCACCUCACCCACCACGUCAAGUUGAACCCCGCCCUCAUUUUUUUUCUCUUUUUCUUCUUCUUCUCCGGUCAAAUUCUUUAUAGAAUUCAUACUAUCUUUUAGACUUUAUUGAAUUAUUGAUAACAAAAUUAAUUAUUUUUUUAAGAAAAUUUAAAAUUUGAAGAUAUCAUCAACUACUCCUUUUCAUAUAACUUCAAAAUUAAAAAUAAUAAUUUUAAAAGAAUCAAUGAAUUCCCCGAAAAUUGAAAGAACUCAAUUGAAAUCGGAUAAAAAAAUUAUAUGAUACUUCCUAAUUAUCUUGAAAUCUAAUGGGUUUAUCAAAUUGUUCGAAAUGUAAAAAAAUAUUUAGUUAAAGUUUUAAAAUUAAAGAGAGUAAAACUAAUUGUAGUAAUAAAGGAAGGUGAAGUUGUGGUAAAAAUGGUGACAUUGAAAGUGAGAAGUUUCAAUGGAAAUAACAAUGAAUUUUUGAAGAAGAAAGAAGAAAGAAAGAGAAAAAAUAAAAAGGAAAAAAAGUUAAAAUAAUAAAAAAAUAAGAAAAUAUAUUUUAUAAUAAAGUAUUUGUAAAAAUAAAAUUAUAUUAGUUCAUUUAGCUUGCUCACUCUCUUUGAGAGAGUGUACACCACUCUAUAUGUCAGGUGGACGAAAAAUGAUAUAGUAAUACAUAUUCAAAAUUGUUUAGUGAGGUAAUAGUAUGAUUGUAAAGUUAAGAUGUCUUUUUUAAAAUCUAGGACAACUUCAAUAUUGCAUUUAUGUCUUUUCUCGAGAGAAAAAGAAAAACCAGAGAGAUAGAAGCAGAGUUCAAUCAGUUAAGAAUGAAUUUUCCAAAUGAAGAAUCUGAUAAUUCCACGAUUUCAGUUGAAGAUGAACAGAUCAAGCGGACUCAACUUAAAAUUCAAUUUCAGAGUACAAGAAAAGGGGAUCUCGAAACAAUCGAAUCCUAUGUGAAAAAAUUGAAAUCCAUAGCCAAUUCUCUAGCAGAAAUUGACAGUCCGAUCUCAGAUUCAGACAUGGUGUUGCAACUUCUUGCUGGUUUGCCUAAUCAAUACUUGCCCCUCAAAAACACAAUAUCAUCAAUGUGUCAUCUCCCCAAUUUUGAAGAAACUUCUUCCAUGUUGUACAUGCAAGAGGACAUAUUAUUACUGGUGAGAGCAAACGGUUCAUCCAAAUCUCUUCGAAAAAAAUUACAUUAUAUAUUCAAAAUUAAGGUGAUGUACAUUUUUUUUAAAGAUUGAAUGAAGCAAAUCGUGAGCUAAUCUAAUUGUAGUAUCAUGAGGAGAAAUUCAAAGCUGAUGCUGGUGUUGCUGGUGCAGAGCAAUCGUCUGGUUUUUGUACAGCAGAUACGUUCUUUGCUGUUGUGGAUACAUUGGGUAAUGUUGUUGCUGCAGUAGGUACUAUCUGCGCUGGAGUUAUUUAUUAAUGACCGAAAUAAAUAAUUCUAUGAUACAUUAAGGACCAUUUUAAUUAAAUAAAAUAUAUUAAGAACCAAAAAAAUCAUUACCCAUACAUUCAGAAUCUAUACUUUUCUUCCACUAAUAAAGCUGGUCCUUAUAAAAAGAAAAGUAUAAUGUGUCAUCUCUCAUCGUACUACUUUAGAUCUUUAAUUGUAAAGUAAAAGAUAUUAUUAAUAAAAGUUUGUUGUCCAGUUCCAUUGUUUUAAAAAAAAUUAAAUUAAAGGCAUAUUUUAUUAAAUUAUUUUUUUAAUAAUAUAUUCAAACCCUAACUUAUAUUUGAAUAUAUAAUAUGAAGUUAAGAUUUUAAAUUAGUAUUUGAAUAUGCGAUUUGAGAUAGUAUUCAAAUUUUGAAUUCUAAAAAAAAAAUGAUUUAGAAAUUUCAAAUCACGAAUUUUUAUAAAUGUAAAAUUUUAUCCAUAAGUUUAUAUUUCUUUAAAGACCUAUUAUUUUAAAUUUUACAAAAAACACAUGUUCGACAUAAAUUUCUUUUUGUGUCAUAUAAAAAAAUUAUAUAAAAAGAAUAAUCAUUACUUUAAUAAAUUUUUAUAAAAUUAUGUAUAAUCACAAACAUUUAUUUAUAAAAGAAACAUAAGAUAGCAAUUUAUCAAGGGGAAAUACAUAAUUACCCCAUUCAACUAUAACACUUUUUCUAAAAAGACACUCAAACUUUACAAGGAUCCUAAUACCCCCAUUGAACAAUUUGAAAGUAAUAUAAAUACCCCAUUUUUGGGUCAAACCCACUUAUAAGAAAGAAGGUGAAGUCACGCACCAAUUAUUGCUUGCCAUGUGUCAAUUUUUAUAUAAUUUCUUAAUCUUUGUUUUUAUUUAUGUUUUUUUUUUGUUAGUUUUGAUUCUUUAUUUUUUCUUUCUUCUUCGCUUAACCCAUUUGUUGAUCUCCUUCGUCCUGGAGUAGAAGCCAUUGCAACAACACUAAAUCAAAAUUAAAACUGGAAAAUCAAAUCCACUUUCAAAAUUAUUAUUUUUCAAAUUAAAAUUUCUAUCAAAGUCUUCUUUUUGUUUAUUUUGCCUUUGAUUUUUGCUAUAAAUCAACCUGGGUGGUAUUUGAAAAAAAAUAAAAAUUCUCUCUCACCCCAGCCGGCCAAGAAAGAGGAGAAGAAAUCUGAGGAUGAAACAACAAAUCUGUUGUUGCUUUCGUUAUCAAUGGAAGAAAGCCGACUAAAAAGGCAUUUUCUUUUAUGGACUGAAAUUGUGUUAUUUAGUUACAAUCAAAUCUCUCUGUCGAAAUCCAAUUUAAAUGAAAAACGAAAAGAGAGAAAAAAAAUAAAAUUCAAGCUAUUGUCAUCUCCUUCAAUGGUGAAACUCACGAAGGAGAAGAAAGAAAAACAAAUUAAACAGUAAAAUAAAAGAUUAUUUAAAUAGUUAAUAAAAAAUAUUGCAAAAGAAAAGUUUAAUCUUAUUUUUUUUUGGUUUCCACGCUCUUCAGGUGAGUGACAUACACUCUCUCUAUAAAAUAUCGAAAAAUGGUUCAAUAAUUUCACAUUAAACUAGUUUAGGGGUGUAUUAGGACCCCCGCAAAGUUUGAGUGUCUUUUUCAAAAAUAGGUCUUACUUUAAUGGGGUAAUUAUGUAUUUUCUCAUUUAUCAAUAUUAUUCUAUUUUUUUAUUAGAAAUGCUUAAAAAUGGAGGGAGGGAGGGAGGGGUUGGGAGGAUCUCGUAGAAGCAAUGUUCAAAAUCUUGAUUGAAUUUUAAUAUCUUUAUCAAAUACUGAUAUUAUAACUCACCUUCGAACAAGCCACCAAAUAAACAAGGGGUCUCGGUAUUCUUUAGAGGUGAGUAGGUUUUUGGAGUGUAAUUGAAAAUAUUCCUUACUUGCUUGCUAAGUAGAGUACCGCCAUUUGAAUUGACGUUAGGUUUCAAUGUUUUUGAAAAAGACCAAAGUCUACGGAAAGUAGUCGAGUACUUUGACUUGUGUUACUCUAUUUUAGUUUAGUUAAUAUGCUCUCGACGUCUAUUUUUACUUAUCUAUUAUAUUAUUAUGGGAUGUUAUAUAAUCUCUUCAUUUACUUUUAAUUGUAAUAAAAAAAAUUUUAGAGUCAAACGAUAAAAAUUUUGAUUAACAUUUUUAUGUUGUAUUAUUUCAUCAUAUUGGUAUGUAAAAAAUUGUAGUUUAUAGUACUUUUCGUAUAGUUUUUGAAUAUCUAAUUUUUUUGUUUAACAUAUUGAAUUAAUAUAAUCCAAUUUAACUUUGAGAAUUAGUUAAAUUGACUUUCAAAAAGCGCAACAUGACAAUUAAAAGUGAAUUGUUGGAGGAAUACUUGUUCAGUUUAUAAAAAUUAAUGAAUAAUUUAUUAUUUAAUAUCUAUUUUACCCAUGCUAUUAUAUACUAUUCACUUUUUAAUGUUUAGAUGACUUAUAUUUAAUGAGGAUGAUUUAGUAAAAUUAUCUCUAUCUUUACUGCUUCUUAUUUUACAUGUCAAGUCAAUGAUAAACAAUUAUUAUUGAAGUAGCACAUAAAAUCUAAUCCUUGUUUUCCAAAAAAUAAAGAAUAGUCUCGAGAAGUAACAAGACAUGGGAUCACAAAAUGGUGCAACUACAAAACUAUUACAAUCUUUGUGAACACACACUUCAAUUCUAUAAUUAAAAAUAUAGAUAAAUCUAAUUCAAUCGAUAAAUUUAUCUCAGAAGUAAACUGCUCCGUUAUAACUAUUUGUAUACUUGUAUCGACUCGAGGAACCGAAAUAUUGAUAAUCAUUUUGCUCUUCAGCUGCUUAAGUCACAUGGAUGAAUUCUAUGAACCUUCUACACUAUUCUAGAAAAGAAUAAAUAAGGUCAUUUAUGUCUUUAGCUAUGUAAAUAUAUUUUUUUCUUUUUCAUUUUAUUUUUAACAGUUAGUUACACAUUCUGUUACAUAUAACAUCAUUCCUCUCUACAAAAUAAAUUCACAGAGAACAAAAAAUUCAACAAUCAUCUGAUUAUCGAGAAGAACAAUAGAAUCAACAAUGAGUAUUCCAUUUCCAUCAUCGAUUGAUUUGAGUUCAAAAGAUGAAACGAUUAUCACAGUUCAACAACUGAAAAUGCAAUUUCUCGGCACCAGAAAAGGGGAUCUGGACACCAUAGAAUCCUAUAUCAAAAAUUUGAAAUCCAUAGCCGAUUCUCUAUCCGCUAACGACAAUCCUUUAUCAGAUUCAGAUUUGGUACUGCAACUUCUCGCCGGUUUGCCGUCAUCUCAAUACUCGCCUUACCAGAGCAGAAUCUCAUCGCAGAUCUCUCUACCUGAUUUUUCAGGUGCUUGUUCUUUGCUUUACAUGUACGAAUCGUUAUUGCAAGAGCAAAACGUAAAUGAUACAUCGGAAGAUGAAAAUUAUAAUUAUAAAGAGAUAUUUGAUAAGUUUUUUGAUGUGUUUAGUACGGUAAGUAGUGUGGUUGCAACAGCAUGGGAUGUAUGGAGUAUGUUUGGAACAUCUACAGGGAACAGAAGAAAUACAAGAAGACGUAAUCGAGGAAGGGGGAGGAGGUAGAAAUUUGUUUCGAGUUUUCGAAUCUAAGAAGAAAUUAGAAAAUGUAAUCAAUCAAGUCUUGAUUUGCUCUGUUCAAGAGCUUUUUUUUUGGUUGUUGUUGUGUGAUUUUUCAUUUUAUGUAAGUAAGAAUGGAGUGUUUUGCUUGUUACGCAGUGUUCUUCUGGAUCAUAUGCGACUGAAUAUGGUGUUCAACAUUUGCAGACUUCUUUUUUCUUUUUCUUUUAGAUGUUUGGUAGUUGGAGGAUGUAAAUAAGUUAUUCAUAUAUAAAAUUAGUCCAACGUUUAUAAAUAUAUUGUUAAGUUCCACCAAAACUAUACUGCUGAGCUUUCAUAUUUGUAAAAUGAAGGCCCCGUCAUGUAAGUUGUUACUCCCACUAAUUAAAUUUGUGAGGUAUCGCACACAUACUAAGAGAUAUAUUUAAAGAUAUAAUUUAAACUAUAAUUUUCACUAUUAAUUUUUGUGAAAUUAUAAAUAUGACUUUGUAAAUAAUGUAAUUAUCGCCUAGAAAAUAUAAAAUUUUAAUACAUGAAACAAUAAUUAUGAAAAAACUUUCAAACAUCAUUUUAAACUUUGAAUAAUUCAAUUAUUUUGAAUAACGAAAAAAAUCUCAAAAAUUCACUUCUCUUGAACUAUUCGAGAGGUUAAAGGAAGUGGUGACGAUAACAAGUACAAGAAAUAUGGAAACAAGAGGAUUAUAUGUAGCCUUUAGUCGUGUAAAGUGGCACCACUGGGAAAAAAGAGAAAAUGGCCAAAUGAGCCUCCAAUCUAUUAUUAGAUUUUUAACUAUAUACUUAUAUUUUAUGGGGCUCCUAUUAUCCCUUAAACUAUUUAAAAUUGAAAUUAUUACCUCCUUAAAAAGUCAUAACCACAUUUAUGUGGAUCAGUGAAAUCCCCGCGUUUGACACGUGUAAUUUUUUUUUCUUACAUUUUGACUGAUAAUCCUUUCCUUUUUUCCUUCCUUUCUCUUCCUCCUUUCUCUUUAAAUCCCUGAACACAUCAAUGCCAUUUUUUCUUCCCUUUUUGUAAUUUUUUUUUUGUCAAAUCUAAAACUAUUAUUAAAUUUAUGGUUGUGGAAUAGGUGCAUAAAUGAUAAAAUUUAUUGUCAAUUUAAUUGACCUAAGAAAUAAAUUAUCCGUCAAAAUCUUUUCCGAUGAGGAUAUUUUGAGAUUUUUUUAUUUUUUUUGAGAUUUCCAUCAUUAUUAUUAAGUUAUUUGAAUGGAUUUUGUUAACCGAAAAUGUUUGUUACAAUAGCAUUGGGUACUGUCGUAGCUGCAGCUGGUACAUUGGGAUUGGGUACUCUCUUUGCUGCUCCAUUGGGUACUGUGGUUGGUGCAGUUGGUGCAUCCACGAUGAUUGUAUUUGGAGCAGUAAGUGCCAUGUCUGGCUGGAAAAAUUGGCAAGCACUCCGUCGCAAGUAAUUAAUCGGGUUGAUUUCUUGUAUGAUCACUUAAUUAAUAAUUAUUUUCGUUUUGUGUAAUCAAAAGCUUGAUUUGCUACUUCUAUUUAAAGUUUGUCUUGAGAUGUAUUAUGAUAUGCAGUUGAAGUUCUACACAAACUUUCCUUUGUGUUUUGCAAUAUUUUGAUUUUCCUUUUGAGGUGUGUAUGGUAUAGAGGUAUAUUUUUGGGAAAAUGGUUUGAAAAAUAUUUUAACUUUGGUCGAAAUUGUUGUUACGAUAUCUAACUUUAUGGAGGACUUUUUACCUUUACACUAAUUAAUAGUGAAUUUUAAAGGUAUAUAUGUACCUACGUGGAUACGUUACUAUUUAUAAUGAUGCAAUAUUUAUGAUGUUCACGUGGACACAUAUAUACCUUUAAAAUACACUAUUAAAUAGUGUAGGGGUAAAAUGUCCUUUCCAAAAUUCGGUAUUGUUAUAGCAAUUUCGGUUAAAAUUCGGAUAUAUUUCAGAUAUUUUUCUCUAUUUUUUUGGUAAAGGAUUAAUUACUCUCCGUAAUAGACCCAGAUUAGUUGAAGAGAAUAGUUUAGAGCCCGUUUGGAUAAGCCGAAAAAAAGAGAGUAGUUUUUAAGUCAAAAAAUUAAAAAUAAUUUCAGAGACCUCCCCUCACAUUUAACCUUAUAACACUUACUUCCUUGUGGUUUCAGAUAUUACACUCAUCUCCCUUAUUCUUAAAUUUCUGUAACCAAACUUAUUUAAAUGAUAAUCUUUCAACCACAUUCCAAAAAUACCCUUUUUAUGACAUUAAUAUAAUUAUUUAAUACUUCUAUAUGACUAAUAACCUAAGCAAUAUUUCGUUCCAGUUUUUAAUACUAAAUUUGAGUUUUUUUUAAGCUUGGAUUCAUAAUACGAGAACCAUAAGUAUAAAUCAAUGGGUAAAUAUUUAUUUUGGAUAGAAAAAUGCAAUCUGCAUACUUGACCUCCAAAUAUUUGUAUAAAGAUUUUUUUUUUCAUUUGACAUGCGAUAAUAAAUGUUUAGUUUGAUAAUUUUUUAGACUUCAGAAAAAAAACAAUUAUGUUCAUAUAUAUAUAUAUAUAUAUAUAUAAUUUCUGCACAUAAUUACCAGACAAUGUUUCCCGACCCUAAACAAUAUUUUUAUAAUAAAUUUUCAACAUUCUUUUUGUACUUAAAAUAUUGCAUAUGUCUUAACCGUAAAAAUUACCACUAAAUUUUAAUAUGUUUAAGAAGUUCCGUCAUUUAGCAAGUUCGAUAGUUUACAAGGAAAUAAAUAAAUGUAUAUAAUGAAAGAUGGUGCGCGAUGGAGCACCAUAGGUAGAGUAUUUUAUGUCAGCUAAAAUAUUUUGGAAAUUUUCAUUUCAAAAAUUAAUAAAAAAUAAUGUUAAGCAAGGGCAACUUUGGAAUAUUGGAUGAGUUUUAAUGAUUAAUAAAAAAUAAUGUCAAGAAAGGGCAACUUUGGAAUAUUAGAUGGGUUUUAGCAUUAAAACUAAUUUGGUUACAUAAAUGUGAAAAUAACGGAGGUGAGCGUAAUAUCUGAAACUAGAAGGAAAGAUAGUGUUAUAAGGCUAAACUUGAGGGGAGGUCUCUGAAAUUAUCCUAAAAUUUUAAAUAACUUUUUGAAGUCAAAAAAUAAAAAGUAAGAGAGUCUACUUUUGAUUUUUAAUUUAUUUGACGUUAUUUUUAACUUUGUCAAAACACUUCCAAAAAUUAAAAAUACAUUAAAAAUAGGUUUGAUCAACUUUUAAAUUCAUCCAAACAUGUUAGUUUGAUGUAUCGAUCAAAUUUCGACUUACAUGCAUUGAUGCAAACAUCCAGGUGAGAAGGGAAUGUAAGUCAAGAUAAGCUAUAAUUGUGUUGGUGUUGUCAUUGAAAUCAAGAGAAAAUAAUUAAAAUGGUCUUUUGGUAAUGUUUUAUUUUGGUUCUUAAUAUAUUUUUAGGAAAAAUACUUAAAUAUGUCAUUGAACUUUGAGAAAAUGUUCAUCAAUAUCAAAUCUAAAAGUUUGGUUCAUCUAUGUCUUUUCUAUUUGAGAAAAAGUUCAUCCAUUUUUUGUCAAAAUUCAAUGACAUAUUUGAGUUUUUUCUCUUUAAAAAUGAUUUAAUUAAUGAUGUGGCCAAAUCAUAAUUGACCACGUGUAAAAAAAUAAUUUUGAAAAAUUGAAAUUAUUUUUAACAAAUAAUGGCAUGAAUGAGUGUUUUUCAAAUGAAAAUGGCAUAGAUGAGCCUUUUCUCAAAGUUCGAUAACAUAUUUAAGUCUUUUUCCUAUAUUUAACAUGAUUGAAAUAAUACUUACUUAAUAACAAAAGUUGUUCAUUUUGGUCCUAAAAUUAAACCUAACAGGGGCGGAUCCACGUUGAGCGAAGGGGUGUCAAGCGAAUCCCCAAAAAAUUUAACUAAAGUUUAUAUAUAUAUAUAUAUAUAUAUAUUAACUAAGAAAAUUUUUAUUCAAGCAAAUAUGAUUAUGUCUUUCCAAUCCUUUAAUCCACCUUGUUUUCACAUCUACCUAUUAGAGCCUCUGUUCCGAUCAUUCAAUAUCCGUAUCUUUCAUACUAUAUUUAUCUAAAUUAUACAAAAGAUAAAAUUUAAGAUACUAUUUUUUACAUAUAUAGCAAACACAAAAAAUAAUUAAAUUAUUUCUUACCGUAUCAAACAUGAUCAAAGUAACGAAUUUUUUGCUUUAGGAAAUUGUACGGAGCCAAUAAUGUGUAAGGCAGUUUGGUCCUAUCGCGAAUUAAUAAUUUUUUUUAUUAUAUGCAACAAUUUAUUGUUACUAAACAAUAGAACUUGCGUGAAAUUUGCGUUCCAAUAUGAAAAGUAGAUCGAGGAAAAAGACAAAAAUAUGUUUAUUUCAUUAUAGCUUGCAUUUCCCUCAGACCUAAAGACCAAGUCAACUCAUUUUCUAUUCAGACUUCCUAUUUCACUUUUUCAAUAUUUUAUCAUUAUUUCUAUUACUUUUUAAUUAACAUAUUAUUUUAUAUAUAAUUUCUUUAAUUAAAUAUCUCUAUUACUUUCUAAUUAACAUAUUAUUUUACAUAUAAUUUCAUUAAUUAAAUAUCAAAUAUUCAUAAUUCUUUUUAAAUGUAAUAUAAUAUUUUAAAAACAUAUUAUUUAAUAUAUAUAUUACUUAAUCUUGAAUUAAUAGUAUUUUAAUUUUUUCUAAUUUUCGUCAAUAAUAUAAUUUGAUUUUAUUAUUAAUUUNNNNNNNNNNNNNNNNNNNNNNNNNNNNNNNNNNNNNNNNNNNAAUUUUCGUGAAUAAUAAAAUUUUAUUUUAUUAUUAAUUUUCAUUAUAAAGAAUACGCAAAAUUAAAAUGGCAAGAUGAAAAAAUUUAAUUUAAAAAUACAAUACAUAAUAUGAUAAUGAAAAAUACAAGAUAACAAUACAGUACAUAACAUAAUAAUUUAAAUACAAGAUAAAAUACAAUACAUAACAUAACAAUUAAUUUAUAACAACAAUAAUUUAGUAUUCCUGUAGGUCGUUUCCAAAUUUAGCACUAUUUGGAAAAAAUUAGGAUAUCAUCUAGAGAAUUGUUGCGAUUGCGGUUGUGACUGCAGUUGUGAUUGUCGAUUUCUCUUUUCAAGUAUUAGCUGUUGUUCUUGUUGCAGGUAGUCAUGAACAUUUGCAAUCACGUUUUGCAAUUAUUGCAGGACCGUUACAUUUUUGGAGAAAGGAAGUGUUACAUGAUAUAAUGACUACAUGUAUUAUACUGCACAACAUGAUAAUUGAGGAUGAACGUGAUCUUAAUGCACCAAUUCAAGAUGCCGUAGAGGCUCCAAUUCCAACGACAAAAAUAGUGGUAGAUGAAAAUCUCCGAUUUGAAGACAUAAAAAAAUUAAGGACAAAAAUGCUCAUUUUGAACUCCAUAAUGCAUUAAUAAAGCAUUUAUGGGAGCAACAUAAUAAUUUUGAAAAUUGAGUGUUUAUAUAAUGCUUAUGUAAUUGUGCUUCACUUUUAUUUGAAUUUGUCCAUUAAUUUGUAUAUUAUAUUAUAUUUUCUUGCAAUUUAUGUUAUUUAAAAAUUUAGAAUGAAAUAUAAUUUUAUAUUAAAUGAAAAAAUUGAAUUUUUUUUUAUAUCACAUGAAAAUUAUAUAAAGUAAUUAUUUUGGAAAAAAAAGGAUUUUUAUUAUGAAAUAAAAAAAUAAGAAUGAAAUAGAAAUAAUAAUAUAAUAUUGAGGAGAGAGAAAAUGAUUCUUUUUUAGAGAGUAAUAUAGAAAAUUGGGUUGGAGUUGGUUGUCUGAAAAAAUAGAGAAUCUUAUAUUUAGAGAGUGAAAUAGAGUGUAGGGUUGGAGAUGCCCUCAGAUACAUAUUCUUCUCCUUUUUCAAUUUAUGUCAUAUUAUUUAACUUUUAAUAUUGCUAUCUCAAUAUAAAUAGCAAUAUUUAAUUCUGUAAAAAAAAAAUGAAAAUAAAAAUAAAAAUUUAUUGUUUAAAUAAAUUUUAGAUAUUAUAUAGAUAUAAAUCAUUGUAUUAAGGUAAUAGAUAAAUUUUGAAAUUAAGCUAUUUAUUAUUUUAUAAAAAUAUUUUUUUUGAAAUAAGCUAUAUCAUAUAAAUUAAAGAUAGAAAAAAAUAUUAUCUUCCAUAAAGUGCGUGGAAAGAAAAAAACAUCAUGUAAAUUAAAAACCAACAUGUAAAGAAAGUUGAUAUUCUGAAUAGUACAUUUCUUGACUUCACCCACCAAUAAAUUUGUUAAAAAAUAAAAAGUAACCAAUAAUGUUGUCUCAUCGUACUACUUUAAGGGGUCGUUUGGUAGAGUGUAUAAAAAUAAUAUCCAAUAGAGUGUAUUAGUAAUGCAAGCAUUAGUAAUGCAUGUAUUAAUUAUACUUGUAUUAGUUAUGCAUAGAUUAUUUCUUAUGCAUUGUUUGAUUUUGGUGUAUUAAAAAAUGUAUGCAUUGUAUAAAAAUGUUUAUUUACAAAAGUAUCCUUCACAAUUUAUGGGUGGAAAAAGAUGUAAAAGUACUUUUGAGGGGUAAUUGGGUCUUUAACCAUAUUAAUGCAUGUAUUAAAUCUUUUGCAUUACUAAUACCUAGAAAUCCAUGGUAUAAGUAAUACACUCGUUAAUACACAAUAUAGUGUAUAACUACAUAGCAUGAAAAAAUGCACCAAACAAGGGAUUACUAAUACAUAUAAUUAAUGCAUGCAUUAUUUUUGCUAACACACUCUACCAAACGACCCAGCAUUAGUUAUACAUAGCAUGAAAAAAUGCACUAAACAAGGGAUUACUAAUACAUAUAAUUAGUGCAUGCAUUAUUUUUGCUAAUACACUCUACCAAACGACCCCUUAAUCUUUUAUCGUAAAGUACAAAUAUACCAAUAAAAUGUUGCUAUCCGGUCCCUCAUUUUCUCCGUAUAAUUUUUUUCAUAUAUAAUUGAAUUACUUUAACUAAUACUAACUAGUUUUGUAGUGCUAUUUUUAAAGAGUUAUUUGACGAUAAGAAUUAUAUAAGGUAAAAAUAAUAGAAAAACCAUGUGGUUAAAAUAGGAAAAUUAUGCAUAUACGUAAUAUAGUUAUAGUUUGAAUUAAUUAUCAUUUGUCGCCUUUUUUAGCUAUAAUUAUGUAUGCCUCUUUCGCCUUUCUCCUCUCUUAUACAUACAAAUACAAAUUAUAUAUAUACAUAUACAUAUGACAGAUAUACGAAUACAAUUCGUCUCUCUCCACUCUCUGCUCUCUCUCGCUUGCCUCUCUCCUCCUUCUCCCAAUCUCGCUUGCAUCUCUCUUCCUUCUCCCACUCUUGCUCACCUCUCUCCUCCUUCUCUCAAUCGCGCUCACCAGAUAUUCAAAUACAUACGUAUAUCAGUUACAUAUAUACAAUUAUCUGACAAAUAUACAUAGACAGACAUGCAAAUACAAUUCACCUCUCUCCACUCUUUGUCCUCUCUCGCUCGACUCUCUCUUCCCUCUUCAAUCUUGUUCGCCCCUCUUCUCCCUCUAACAUGUAGCUACGAAUCGUAAUUAGCAAACUAUAACUAUGAAACUUAAUAAAAUUAAUUUUAAUGGCUAUUUGCGAAAUUUCUCCAUUAAAAUAAAAGUUUAUUUCUCUCUCGAUACACGAUAAGUGGCACUAACCUGUGCAUAUCUCUGAUGGCAAGUAAACGACAGAGGAAGGAGGAAUCUAUGGCUAAACCCCAACUUAAUUAUGAGAUUAUAAUCUAUAAUGCAAAAUGAUUUAUUUUUUUUGGUUUCAAUCUAUAUCUGUUACUAUUAAAAUAGGCAAACAGAAUUUUCUUUGAUCACAAUUUGUUAAAAUAAUUUUUAAAAUAUCAAUUUUUUUAUGAAACAUAUGUUGUAUAUAUAUAAUAUAAAUAUGAAAAUAUUAUCUUAAAAAUUACUAAAGAAUUCAACAUCUAAAAUCACAUAAAAAAAUUAAAGAUUCAACACCUAAAUUCAAAGUGAAAGGUGUUUUUUGAAGAUUGGUGUAUAUUUGAAUUAACAUCAAAAUUUUAAACAGUAAGAGUCCGUUUGACUGAGGAACAAAUUGUUUUGAGAUUAAUUAUUCAAAAUCAUUAUUUCCUUCUCUAUGUGGAAUAAAUAUAACAUUAUCAACUAAUCUAAUGAUUUUAUCAAAAUUUUAAAAAAAAACGAGAUAAACUAAUCUUAAAAUUAAUUUCAAAAUUAGUUAUUCCUUAUCAGUAGUACCAAACGAGUCAUAACACACUAAUUCAAACAGUACUAAGGGUUCAUAUUUUAAAGGGUGGAAGUCUACUCAGAGAAUAAGAAAAAAAACCAGAGAGAUAGAAGCAGAGUUCAGCAGGUAGAAACUUUAACAAUGAAUUUUCCAAUUGAAGAAUCUAAUAAAAAAAUAAAUUAAAAUUUACAGUUGAAAUAAAUAUUAGAUAUUUAUAUAGAUAUUAAUAAAUUUUUAAUUUUUUUAAUUUUUAAUCAAAUAAUGAGCUUAGAGCUCUUUUAUUGAGUGACAAUAAACAGUACAAAACUUGGCCAUAAUGGCCCAAACUAAAUAAAUGUACCCGACCCAGAUGGCCCAAUCCAAAAUGCCCCCAAAUAUCUAAAUUCCAAUCCAUUAGCUUUCCAAAUUUGUCUUCCUUCAUUUUUGUGUUCUUGUCUCAGAUGUGAUUUAUGUUGAGCUUCCAUCAGCUCCUUGUUCCAUUUGCUUUGGAUCAACGAUGCCUUCAACUCUUCCAUUAGUAACAACUCAGCUUAUCAAGGUAACUCUCUUCCUCUACUACUCUUUGAAACAUCCUAUUUUGCUUGUUGUCUGCUGAGCACUUAUUUAGCGAUUGUCUUGAUUUUCAGAAUCAAUUUUACAGCAUAGCUUCGUUAUGAUCAGGUAAACCUCUCUACUUUCUUCCCAUCUCUUCUCUUUCUUCAAUUUCAUUGCUCUUUUAUUCUUUUAGCAGUUGAAAUGUUAGGUCCUUCGUCCAUGGUUGUCUUCACCGCUCCAGGUUCUCAACUCCCAAUCUGACUUUGUUGCUCUCAUCUCUUGCUCGUAACACUUUUUAUAAACUGUAAUAGUUUAGCACAGAUAUCCUAGUACAUUUAAAUCUCACUCUUUUGUAAUCCCUUCUGUGGCAAGAUAUUCUUUGAGUGCUUUAACUUUGUACAUUGUCAUGAUUAUUCUGUUGCACUCUUAUUCUUCUUGCUUUUAUUCUCAAAGUAAGGAUACCUGAUUUGUCUGCAUUUAAAAUACUCUUGCAUUCACCUGAUAACUGCUGAAAAUUCUCCCAUUGCCUUAGACCAGUGUGUGUAUAUGCUUCAUUGACCAACUUGUCUGCUAGCUGAUUAGCUUCUCUAAAAACAUGUGUAAUAUCUGCUUGUAUGUUCUCUAUAAUUUCCUGAAUCUCUUCCAUCUCUUCUGCCUGAUUCCAUGGAAUUUUCCACUCAUUUCUUAUCAUUUUUAUGACCCCCAGUGAAUCUGUCUCAAUCAACACUUUGUUGAUUUUCUUAAUUUUACGAGGGCUUUUAGGAUUGCCACUAUUUCUGCCUCCAUAUUAGUCCUUAUGCCAAUCUUACAUGCUUCUGCAUACAUCAGAUUUCCUGCCUGAUUUCUAACACAAAAACUAUAUGCACUUUCCCCCGGAUUUCCUCUACUUGCUCCAUCCGUGUUGCACUUCACUUCCCCUUCUUGAGGCAGUCCCCAACACACAGUAUGAUAGUGUAACUUAGGUCUGUACUCCUUCAUAACCCCUAGCAUUCCUUCCCAAUAUCUUGGGAUCUGAAUCCAAGGGUAAAGAUGUUUAAUCAGCUUGUACGCAGUGUCUUGACAUUGUUGAUGCAGCUUAUAAUAGGACACCUCCUUCCCAUGUCUUCUAGCAUUUCUCCUCUUCCAAAGCUCCCACAUAAUAAUGGCAGGAAUUGCUUGUAAUAUUGACCUCAUCUUUGACUUAUUCGAUGCUCCCCACCAAUUAGUGAUUAUAUGUUGUAGGCUUCCCUCCAUGCUAAUUCCUGUACAAGUAGCAAAUUGCUUCCAUAGUUUUUGAGCUAUGGAAGCUGUUAGAAAAAGAUGCUUCAUAGUUUCCUGGUCAUAGUCCUCACAACAAUAACAUCUGGAUGCCACAUUAAUCUUCAUCUUUUUCAGGUUGUCAUCUGUAGCUAUUCUCCCCUUCCAACACCUCGAUACAAAGAAACUAAUCUUGAAAGGAAUUCCGUUACACCAUAACUUACUCCACCACCAAUUAACUUCUUUCUUAUGUCUAGUCCCUUCAAACGCUGACUUUACUGUGAAAUUCCCACUCGAACUUCCCAUCCACCAUGUUUUAUCCUUUUUACCUUCUAUAAUCAUAGGGACAAAACUUUCCACAAUGAAUUGGACCAUCUCUUCUGAUAACAUACUUCUCAACCUUUGUAUGUUCCAACUCCCCUGCUUUAUCAGCUCCCGAACUUCUAUAUCAUCAUCAAUCUCUCCUUUCUCCUCUAUAUAAUAAAGUGCUCCUAAUUUUGUCCAUUUAUCAAACCAAAAACUCACCUCUCCAGCCUUUAUUUGCCACCAUAUGUCAUGCUCUAUCUCAUCUAUUACCUGAAUCAUCUUCUUCCAAGCAUGUGAAGCUCCUAUGCUUUUAACCAUUAGCGGAUGAAACUUCUUGCAGUAUUUACUCCACAUGAAAGAGCUCCAUAAUGAAGUGGAAGUUCGAAAGUUCCACCAUAGUUUACAGAAUAAUGCUUUGGUAACAUCAUGUAUAGAUCGAAAACCCACACCUCCUUCAGUCCUAGGAAAACACAUGUCUUCCCAUGCUACCCAAUACUUUCCUUGCUCCCCACCUGUUUUGCUCCAGAAAAAACCAGCGAAAAGUUUAUGCAACUUCUCAAUGACUCUCUUUGGAGGGUUCAUCGCUGAUAACAAAUAAAUUGGCAUUGACUGAAGCACAUUUGCUAUCAAGAUGUACUUUCCUCCAUAUGACAGCCAUUUGUUCUGCCACAUCAUUAGUCUACUCUGCACCUUCUUCACCAAUUCUUCAAAGUGUGAAACCUUUUUUCUUCCAUAAAAAACUGGGCAACCUAGAUAAAUAAAAGGGAAUAAGCCCUGCUUUAUGCCUGCAAUUCUCCUUAAUCUCAUCCCAACAAUUAACGGAGUAUCAUCAUGCAGAUAAAAGAAACUUUUAUUUAAGUUGACCAUCUGUCCGGAAAUAUUUUCAUAUCUCCUCAACACUCCCAUUAUCUUACAAAUAGACUUUCUCUCCCCUGAGCAAAAGAGUAUUGUAUCAUCUGCAUAUGACAAAUGAUUAAUGGGAGGACUCCAUUUUGGCAUUCCAUAACCCCUGAAAUCUACAUCUUCAUCCAGAUUAUUUAACCCCCUAGCUAAAACUUCUGCAGCUAUUAUGAACAAUGUUGGAGAUAAAGGAUCUCCUUGUUUGAGCCCUCUUGUCGACUUAAAAAUACCAUAUGACUUUCCAUUAACUAAUAUUGAAUACCAUUUAUUCGAAAUUAGCCUCCACACCAUAUCAAUAAUGAUUUCAAAAAAUCCAAAGCUCCUUAGCACUUUAAUUAAAAAGAACCAAGAGACCCUAUCAUAAGCUUUUGCCAUGUCCAACUUUACUACCACAUUGUGAUAUUUCUUCCUCCUAUUUAUAUCCCUUAUUAUCUCUUGAGCUAAUAGAACAUUUUCUGUAAUGUUUCUCCCUUUAAUAAAACCUGACUGGUUCCUUGAAAUAAUAUUGGGUAACCUUUUCGAAAUCCUUUCAUGCAACACUCGAGAGAUGAUUUUAUUUGCAAACGUACUUAAAUUCACUGGUCUAAGAUCUGUGAAGUUUACAACUCUCUCCUUUUUUGGGAGUAACACCAAAUUCGUGUGAGAAAUAAAACGAGAAAUCUGCUUACCACAAAAAAAUGCCUUCACCAUUUUGGUAAUAUCCUCACCUAUAAGUUCCCAACAAUAUUGGAAGAAUAAUCCCGAGAAACCAUCUGGACCGCUUGUACUAUCUUCGUUCAAAGCGAAGACUACUAUCUUGACCUCCUCCUUAGUUGGCAUAUGAACCAUUUCCUCAUUCUGACUAGGGGUAAUCAAUUUGGGAAUAAGCCUCAACAAAUUUUCAUCUUCACUUGUUCCUCCUUCUCUGAACUGCCCUUCAAAAUAAGAGAUUGCUGCUGUGCCAAUCUCAUCGCUGCUAUUCACUACAUCACCUUGUUCCGUUUGAAUUUCCGCCAGGUGCAGUUUUUUUCUUCUUCCUUUGACAUAAUUAUGAAAAAAUCUAGUAUUCUUGUCCCCAUCCUGAAACCAUCUCAUCCCAGCUUUCUGUUUCCAAAAUUCCUCUUCCAAGUAGAGAAAUUUUUUAAACUUAGCUUCUGACCUUUUCAAAUCUGCCCUAUUUUCUUCAUUUGUAUAAAUCUCCAAUUGUAUCUCCUUGACCUUGACUUCAUCCUCCAAGGUUGCAACCUUCUAGAAUAUGUUUCCAAAAGUAACCUUGCUCCAUUUUGCCAGCGCCCCUUUCACUUUUUCAUUUUCGCCUGAAAUUCAAUAAACGGGCAGCCCACAAAAUCAAUUCUCCAGUUAUCCUCAAUAAUCUGCUGAAAUUGGGGAUGCCUUGUCCAGAAAUUGAGAAACUUAAAAGGUCUGCUUGUCACUUCUUCCUCCGAAUUGCAUAUGACAUGUAAAGGUGCAUGAUCCGAACCUUGUCUCACUAAAUGAUGAACUUCACUAGUAGGUAACAUAUUGUUAAACUCCUGAUUUCCAAAGACUCUGUCAAGUCUCUUAAAAAUACUGUCUCUUUCAAUUCUACCAUUCCACCAAGUAAACAUGCUACCCACAAACUUAAGUUCUGUUAGAGCACAAUUAUUAAUGCAUUGACUGAAAUCCAAAGCCUCAAACUGAGUAAAGUCUAAUCCCCCAAGUUUUUCCUCCUCAUUCAAAAUAACAUUGAAAUCUCCUCCCACCAUCCAAGGUAUAUUAAUAUAAGCAGAUAAAGCCUCCAGUUCUUCCCACAACUCCAAUCUUUCUAAUGCAUCACACCUAGCAUACACUGCAGUACAAAUCAUCUCCACAUUGUUCUUGGUCAACUUCAAACUUAUUUGUUGUAUACUAUCACUCACCACUUCACCCCUCCAACCAUCAUCCCAAAAAAUCCAAAUUUUCGCAGAUAUUAAUCAUUUUAUUAAGGUAAUAUAUAAAUUUUGAAGUUAAGUUUUUUAUUAUUAAAUUUUUUCUUUUUAAAAUAAAAUAAAAUAUAUCAUAUAAAUUAAGAUAGAAAAAAUUAUCAUCUUCCUUAAAGCGCGUGGAAAGAAAGAAGCAUCAUGUAAAGAAAGUUGAUAUUCUGAAUAAUACAUUUCUUGACAUAAAAAGUAACCAACAAUGUUGUCUCAUCGUACUACUUUAAAUCUUUUAUCGUAAAAGUACAAAAUAUACUAAUAAAAUGUUGCUAUCCAGUCCCUCAUUUUCUCCCUAUAGUUUUUUCAUAUAUAAUUGAUUGAGUACUGCUAAUUGGCAAGACAAAAUUUUGGAACGAAUUGCCAAGACAUGGGUAAAUGACGAAAAUGUUCCUUUGGCUUCAAAACCGCAUGUAUUUCCCUCCAAAAAAGAAAAUCACCUUUGACAUUUUAAUACUCCCUCCGUCCCAUUUUAUGUGAUGUAGUUUGACUCGACACGGAAUUUAAGAAAGAAAAGAAGAUGUUUAAAACUUGUGGUCCAAAAUGAAUUAUAGAAAUUUGUGUGGCUGUAAAUCAUUUCAUUAAGGGUAAAAUAGACAUUUUAUAGUUAAAUUGUUAGUAAAUAUAAAAAUGUGUCAUUCUUUUUGGGACUUACUAAAAAGGAAAGUAAGUCACAUAAAUUGGAACAGAGGGAGUAAUUAUUUACUCUCUCUCUUACUUUACUCUUUUUAACUCCUGUCAACUUCACUCUUCACUCUCGUCCGUUCUUAUUUUAAUUUGUUGAUCAACAAUAUAUAGAAGAUUGAUAUAUUUAAAUAUAGGGUUCUUGUGAAUGAAGAAAAAAAUUGACAAAAAACAAAUAUAUUUGAACAAAGGUAGUUUAAUCAACUCAGAUUUGUCGUUGAUUUAUUAAUCCAAAUUAAAAUUAUGAACGAAAAGGAAACAAAAAAAUACUAUUUAAAAUGACAACGUAUGGAGAUCCAAACUUGGUAGAAAUAGAAGUAAACCUUACCCAAAAAAAACAAAAAAGCUCAAUAAAGUAUGAAAUUAAAUAAAAAUUUCUUGGGCAGUGUGAAAUAAAUAAUAAUUACAACUUGGAUUUUUUAGAAGUGAUUUAAGUUUUAAACAGUUGUGGUUUUAAAAGUAUUAAAAGUAGUUUUACUUUUGAGGAUAAUUUAGGUACACGAAAUAAAUGAAUUUACCCAAACGCCCUUAACUUUUCACCAAAAUUACGAAAAUACCUGAUUUUUGUUGCUCGUGUCAUUUCGUGCCAAAAAUCUGUCUUGCCAAUUAUAUUUUCCGUAAUUGUAUUACUUUAACUAAUACUUGUACGGAGAAAAUUCUGUUAAGAAAUUCUGUUAAGAGCGCCACCCUCAAAUGGGCUCUACAGAGCGCGAUCCAAAUUUAGUCGGAGUUCAAUGUGGACUACAAACACCGGAUUAGAAAUAAAAAUUAAAAAAUAAACUAAUUUUGUAGUGCUAUUUUUAAAGAGUUACUUGACAAUAAGAAUUAUAUAAGGUAAAAACAAUAGAUAAACCAUGUGAUUAAAAUAUGGAAAAUUAUGCAGAUAAAUAAAUAUAUACUAGUUAAUUAACUAAUAUAGUUAUAAUUUGAGUUAAUUAUUACUUGCCGCCUGUUUUUAGUUAUAAUUACAUACACCUCUUUCGCCUUUUUCCUCUCUUAUACAUACAAAUACAAAUUAUACAUAUACAUAUACAAUUAUAUGACAGAUAUACGAAUACAAUUCGUCUCUCUCCACUCUCUGCUCUCUCUCGCUCGCCUCUCUCCUCCUCCCAAUUCGUGCUCACCAAUAUUCAAAUACCUAUACGUAUACCAGUUACAUAUAUACAAUUAUCUGACAUAUAUACAUAUAAAAUUCGACAGAUAUGCAAAUAUAAUUCACCUCUCUCCACUCUUUGCCCUCUCUCGCUCGACUCUCUCUUCCCUCUUCAAUCUCGUUCGCCUCUCUUCUCCCUCUAACAUGUAGAUACGAAUCGUAAUUAGCAAACUAUAACUAUGGUGCCUAAUAAAAUUAAUUUUAAUGACUAUUUGCAAAAUUUCUCCGUUAAAAUAAAAGUUUAUUUCUCUCGAUACACGAUAAGUGGCACUAACCUGUGCAUAUCUCUGAUGGCAAGUAAACGACAGAGGAAGGAGGAAUCUAUGGCUAAACCGACUUAAUUAUCAGAAUAUAAUCUAUAAUGCAAAAUGAUUCUUUGUUUUUUUUUUUAUUUCAAUCUAUAUCUGUUACUAUUAAAAUAGGCAAACAAUAUUUUCUUUGAUCACAAUUUGUUAAAAUAAUUUUUAAAAUAUUAGUUUUUUAUGUACUCAUAAUAUAUAUAUGUGAAUAUUUUAUCUUAAAAUUUCUUUUACAUAUAUAUAUCAAACACAAAAAUUAAUUAAAUUAUAUUCUUACCGUAUCAAACAUGAUCAAAGUAACGAAUUUUUUGCUUUAGGAAAUUAAACGGAGCCAAUAAUGUGUAAGGCAGUUUGGGUCCCAUCGUGAAUUAACAAACUUUUUAUUAUUGUUACCAAAAUUAUAGAACUUGAGUGGAAUUUACGGUCCACUAUGAAAAGUAAAUCGAUGAAAAAGACAAAAAUAUGUCUAUUUCAUUAUAGCUUUCAUAUUCCCUCCAAUCUAAAGACCAAGUUAGCUCAUUUUCUGUCGAUCUAUAUGACUUACUUCACCAGUAAGCUAGUUCAGAUAUGUAUUAUUCUCUUUUUUUCAAUUUAUUUCAUACUAUUUGAACUGAUAAGGAAUUUAAGAAAUAAAUAAAUACUUAAAAAACUCGUUAUAAAUACUUUAAAUAUUGCUCUCUUAAUAUAAAUAGCACUAUUUAAUUCUGUAAAAAAUUUAAAAAUGAAAUAAAAAAAUUUAUAGUUUAAAUAAAUUUUAGAUAUAUAAAUAAUUUUAUUUAUUAAGAUAAUAGAUAAAUUUUGAAGUUAUGCUAUUUAUUAUUAUUAUAUAAAAAUGUGUUUUUUUAAAAAAAAAUUAUAGUAUCAUAUAAAAUAUGCAUACAGUAUUUUCUUUUAUCACAAUUUGUUAAAAUACUUUUUAAAAUAUCAUUUUUUUUAUGAAACAUAUGUUGUAUAUAAUAUAUAAUAUAAAUAUGAAAAUUUGGUCUUAAAAAAUACUAAAGAAUUCAACAUCUAAAAUCACGUUAAAAAAAUAAAGAUUCUAACACCUAAAUUCAAAGUGAAAGAUGUUUUUUGAAGAUUGGUUUAUAUUUGAAUUAACAUCAAAAUUUUAAACAGUAAGAGUUUAUUUGAUCGAGGAACAAGUUGUUUUGAGAUUAAUUAUUCAAAAUUAUUAUUUCCUUCUCUAUGUGGAAUAAAAAUAACACUAUUAACUAAUCUAAUGAUCUUAUCAAAAUAAAAAAGAUAAACUCAUGUUAAGAUUAAUUUCAAAAUUAGUUAUUCCUUAUGAGUAGUACCAAACGAGUCAUAACACACUAAUUCAAACAGUACUAAAGGGUUCAUAUUUAAAAGGGUGGAAGUUUACUCAGAGAAUAAGAAAAAAAACCAGAGAGAUGGAAGAAGAGUUAAGAAUGACUUUCAGGCGAGCUCAACUGAAAAUGCAAUUUCAAAGAACCAGAAAAGGGGAUCUCGAAACAGUCGAAUCCUAUGUGAAAAAAUUGAAAUCCAUAGCCAAUUCUCUAGCUGAAAUCGACAGUCCAAUAUCAGAUACAGACAUGGUGUUGCAACUUCUUGCUGGUUUGCCUAAUCAAUACUUGCCCCUCAAAAACACAAUACCAUCAAAGUGGCCUCUACCCACUUUUGAAGACGCUUGCUCCAUGGUCUACAUGCAAGAGGACAUAUUAUUAAAGGUGAGAGCAAACGGUUCAUCCAAAUCUCUUCGAAAAAAAUUACAUAGUAUAUUCAAAAUUAAGGUGAUGUACAUUAUUUUUAAAGAUUUAAUGAAGCAAAUCAUGAGCUAAUCUAAUUUCAGGAUCGUGAGGAGAAAUUCAAAGCUGAUGCUGGUGCAGAGCAAUCGUCUGGUUUUUGUACCGCAGAUACGUUCUUUGCUGUAGUGGAUACAGUGGGUGAUGUUGCUCGUGCAGUUGGUGCAGUAGGUGCUAUCUGUGCUGGAGUUGGUGCAUUGGGUACUGUCGUUGGUGCAGUUAGUACUGUGAAUGCAACCAGGAUAAUUGUAGGUAGUGUAAUAACUGCCGUGGCUGGCUGGAAAAUUUUGCAACGCAAGUAAUUAAUCGGGUUGAUUUCUUGUACGGUCACUUAAUUAAUAGUUAUGUUCGUAUGUGUAAUCAAAAGCCUGAUUUGCUGCUUCUAUUUAAAGUUUGUCUUGAGAUGUAUGAUAUGCAGUUGAAGUUCUACACAAACUUUCCUUUGUGUUUUUUCAAUAUUUUGAUUUUUUUUUCCCUUUUGAGGUGUGUAUGGUAUGAAGGUAUAUUUUUUGGUAAAGGAUUAAUUACUCUCCGUAAUAGACGCAGAUUAGUUGAAGAUAAUAGUUUUAGAACCCGUUUGGAUAAGCUGGAAAAAAAUAGAAGGUUUUAAGUCAAAAUAAAAGUUAAAAACUUUAAAUAAUUUUUAAGUAAAAAAAUAAAAAGUAGGAAAGUCCUGCUUAUUUGAAGUUAUUUUUAACUUUGUCAAACACUUUCAAAAACUAAAAAUACAUUAAAAAUAAGUUUGACCAACUUUUAAAUUCACAUUAGGUUGAUGUAUCCAUCAAAUUUCGACUUACAUGCAUUUAUGUAAACAUCCCGGUGAGAAGGGAAUUUAAGUCGAGAAAAGCUAUAAUUGUGUUGAUGUUGUCAUUGAAAUCAAGAGAAAAUGAUUAAAAUGGUUUGGGGUAAUGUUUUGUUUUGGUUCUUAAUAUAUUUUUAGGAAAAAUACUUAAAUAUGUCAUAUGAUACUUUGAGAAAAAACUUAUCAAUGUCAAAUCUAAAGUUUGACUCAUCUAUGUCUUUUCUGUUUGAGAAAAAAUUCAUUCAUAUCACUAUUUGUUUGUAAUAGCAUAGAUGAACCAAACUUUUAAUAGAUGAAAUAGAUGAACCUUUUCUCAAAAUUCAAUGACAUAUUUAAGCCUUUUCCCUUUAAAAAUGAUUUAAUUAAUAAUGUAGCCGAAUCAUAAUUGACCACGUGUAAAAUUAUGUUUGAAAAAUUGAAACUAUUUUCAGUUAACAAAUAAUGGCAUGGAUGAAGGUUUUUUCAAAUGAAAAUGGCAUAGAUAAGCCUUUUCUCAAAUUUCGAUGACAUAUUUGAGUUUUUCCCCAAUAUUUUACAUGAUUGAAAUAAUACGUACUUAAUAAUAAAAAUUGUUCAUUUUGGUCCUAAAAUUAAACCUAAUAGGGGCGGACCCACGUUGAGCGAAGGGGUUGUCAAGCGAAUCCCCUUAACCAUGUAUGUGUGUGUAUAUAUAUAUACUAAGAAAAAUUUUAACUAACCAAAUAUGAUUAUGUCUUUCCAAUCCUUUAAUCCACCUUGUUUUCACAUCUACCUAUUUGAGCCUCUGUUUCGAUCAUUUAAUAUCCGUAUCUUUCAUAAUAUUUAUCUAAAUUAUAGAUAAAAUAAAAUUUAAGAUACUAUUUUUUACAUAUAUAGCAAACACAAAAAAUAAUUAAAUUAUUUUCUUACCGUUAUCAAACAUGAUCAAAGUAACAUUUUUUUUGCUUUAGGAAAUUGUACGGAGCCAAUAAUGUGUAAGACAGUUUGGGUCCUAUCGCGAAUUAAUAAUUUUUUUAUUAUAUGCAACACUUUAUUGUUACUAAACUAUAGAACUUGCGUGAAAUUUGUGUUCCAAUAUGAAAAGUAGAUCGACGGAAAAGACAAAAAUAUGUGUAUUUCAUUUUCUAUCGACCAAUAUAACUUAGAGCCCGUUUGGAUUGACUUAAAAGUUGGUCAAACCUACUUUUAAGUCAGUUUUUGAUUUCUUAAAGUGUUUGACAAAUAUAAAAAAUAACUUAAAAUAAAUCAAAAAUGACUUAAAAUAAUAUACGAAGUGUUUGGCAAGGUAAAAAAUGACUUAAAAUAAAUCAGAAAUAACUAAUAAGUCAGAAAUCAAAAGUAGGUCUCCCCCUACUUUUUAUUUUUUGACUUAAAAAUUAUUUCAUUUUGACUUUUUAAUUUUGACUUAAAAGCUAUUUUUGUUAAGUCAAUCCAACGGGCUCUUACUUCACGAGUAAGCUAAUUCAGAUACGUAUUCUUCUCCUUUUUAAAUUUAUGUCAUAUUAUUUAAAGUGAUAAGGAAUUUAAGAAAUAAAUAAAUACUUUAAAAAUUCGUUAUAAAUACUUUUAAUAUUGCUAUCUCAAUAUAAAUAGCAAUAUUUAAUUCUGUAAAAAAGGAAAAAUGAAAAAAUAAAUUAAAAUUUAUUGUUUAAAUAAAUUUUAGAUAUUUAUAUAGAUAUAAAUCAUUUUAUUAAGGUAAUAGAUAAAUUUUGAAGUUAAAGCUAUUUAUUAUUUUAUAAAAAUAUUUUUGUUGAAAUAAACUAUAUCAUAUAAAUUAAGAUAGAAAAAAAUAUUAUCUUCCUUAAAACGCGUGAAAAGAAAAAAGCAUCAUGUAAAUUAAAAAAUAACAUGUAAAGAAAGUUGAUAUUCGGAAUAGUACAUUUCUUGACUUCACCCACCAAUAAAGUUGUUAAAAGAUAAAAAGUAACCAAUAAUGUUGUCUCAUCGUACUACUUCAAAUCUUUUAUCGUAAAGUACAAAUAUACUAAUAAAAUGUUGCUAUCUAGUCCCUCGAUUUCUCCCUAUAAUUUUUUUCAUAUAUAAUUGAAUUACUUUAACCAAUACUAAUUAGUUUUGUAGUGUUAUUUUUAAAGAGUUAUUUGACGAUAAGAAUUAUAUAAGGUAAAAUUAAUAGAUAAAUCAUGUGGUUAAAAUAGGAAAAUUAUGGAGAUAAGUAAUAUAAUUAUAGUUUGAAUUAAUUAUCACUUGUCGUCUUUUUUAGCUAUAAUUAUGUAUGCCUCUUUCGCCUUUCUGCUCUAUUAUACAUACAAAUACAAAUUAUACAUAUACAAUUUAUAUGACAGAUAUACGAAUACAAUUCGUCUCUCUCGCUCACCUCUCUCCUCCUUCUCCCAAUCUCGCUCGCAUCUCCCUUCCUUCUCCCACUCUCGCUCACCUCUCUCCUCCUUCUCCCAAUCGCGCUCACCAGAUAUUCAAAUACAUAUGUAUACCAGUUACAUAUAUACAAUUAUCUGACAUAUAUACAUAUACAAUUUGACAGAUAUGCAAAUACAAUUCACCUCUCUCCACUCUUUGCCGUCUCUCUUCCCUCUUCAACCUCGUUCGCCUCUCUUCUCCCUCUAUCAUAUAGCUACGAAUCGUAAUUAGCAAACUAUAGCUAUGGAAUUUAAUAAAAAUAAUUUUAAUGGCUAUUUGUGAAAUUUCUCAGUUAAAAUAAAAGUUUAUUUCUCUCUCGAUACGUGAAGUGGCACUAACCUGUGCAUAUCUCUGAUGGCAAGUAAACGACAGAGGAAGGAGGAAUCUAUGGCUAAACCCCAACUUAAUUAUGAGAUUAUAAUCUAUAAUGCGAAAUGAUUUUUUUCUUUUUUGGUUACAAUCUAUAUCUGUUACUAUUAAAAUAGGCAAACAGUAUUUUCUUAUAUCACAAUUUAUUAAAAUAUCAGUUUUUUAUGUAAUAUUUUGUAUAAAUAAUAUAUAAAUGUGAAUAUUUUAUCUUAAAAUUUCUUUUACAUAUAUAUCAAACACAAAAAUUAAUUAAAUUAUUUUCUUAGCGUAUCAAACAUGAUCAAAGUAAAAAAAAAUUGCUUUAGGAAAUUGAACGGAUCCAAUAAUGUGUAAGGCAGUCUGGGUCCCAUCGUGAAUUAAUAAACUUUUUAUUACCUGCAACACUUUAUUGUUACUAAAUUAUAGAAUUUGCGUGGAAUUUACGAUCCAAUAUGAAAAGUAGAUCGAUGAAAAAGACAAAAAUAUGUCUGUUGCAUUAUAGCUUUCAUAUUUCCUCAGACCUAAAGACCUAGUCAGGUCAUUUUCUAUCGAAUCAAUAUGACUUACUUCACAAGUAAGCUAAUUCAAAUAUGUAUUAUUCUCUUUUCUUAAUUUAUGUCAUACUAUUUGAAUUGAUAAGGAAUUUAAGAAAUGAAUAAAUACUUUAAAAACUCGUGAUAAAUACUUUAAAUAUUGCUAUCUCAAUAUAAAUAGCACUAUUUAAUUCUGUACAAAAUUUAAAAAUGAAAUAAAAAAAGAUUUUUUAAAAUUUAUAGUUUAAAGAAAUUUUAGAUAUUUAUAUAGAUAUAAAUCAUUUUAUUUAUUAAGGUAAUAGAUAAAUUUUUGAAGUUAUGCUAUUUAUUAUUAUAUAAAAAAUGAGUUAUUUUUUUAAAAAUAAAUUAUAGUAUCAUAUAAAAUAGGCAAACAGUAUUUUCUUUGAUCACAAUUUGUUAAAAUAAUUUUUAAAAUAUCAUUUUUUAUGAAACAUAUGUUGUAUAUAUAAUAUAAAUAUGAAUAUUUUAUCUUAAAAAAUACUAAAGAAUUCAACAUAAAAUCACAUUAAAAAAAUUAAAGAUUCAACACCUAAUUUCAAAGUGAAAGAUGUUUUUUGAAGACUGGUUUAUAUUUGAAUUAACAUCAAAAUUUUAAACAGUAAGAGUUUGUUUGACUGAGGAACAAGCUGUUUUGAGAUUAAUUAUUCAAAAUCAUUAUUUCCUUCUCUAUGUGGAAUAAAAAUAACAUUAUUAACUAAUCUAAUCAUCUUAUCAACAUAAAAAAACGAGAUAAACUCAUCUUAAAAUUAAUUUCAAAAUUAAUUAUUUCUUAUCAUUAGUAUCAAACGAGCCAUUACACACUAAUUCAAACAGGGUUCAUAUUUUGAAGGGUGGAAGUCUACUCAGAGAAUAAAAAAAAAACCAGAGAGAUAGAAGCAGAUUUCAGUCAGUUAAGAAUGAAUUUUCCAAAUGAAGAAUCUGAUAAUUCCACGAAUUCAGUUGACGAUGAUCAGAUCAGGCAAGUUCAACUUAAAAUUCAAUUUCACAGUACCAGAAAAGGGGAUGUCGAAACAAUCGAAUCCUAUGUGAAAAGAUUGAGGUCCAUCGCCGAUUCCCUAGCAGAAAUCGGCGAUGAGAUCUCAAAUUCAAACAUGGUGUUGCAACUUCUUGCUGGUUUGCCUAUUCAAUACUUGCCCCUCAAAAACACAAUAUCAUCAAAGUGGCCUCUUCCCACUUUUGGAGACGCUUGUUUCAUGGUGUACAAGCACGAAGGCAUGAGUUUUCGAAAAGAUGAAUCUAAUAAUAGUUCCACAAAUUCAGUUGAAGAUGAUCAAAUCCGGCGAGCCCAACUGCAAAUUCAAUUUCACGAAACCAGAAGAGAGGAUUUUCAGCCCAUCGAAUCCUAUGUGAAAAAAUUGAAAUCCAUAGCCAAUUCUCUAGCAGAAAUUAACAGUCCAAUCUCAGAUUCAGACAUGGUGUUGCAACUUCUUGCUGGUUUGCCUAAUCAAUACUUGCCCCUCGAAAAGACAAUAUCAUCAAUGCGUCCUCUCCCCAAUUUUGAAGAAGCUUCUUCCAUGUUGUACAUGCAAGAGGACAUAUUAUUACAGGUGAGAGCAAACGGUUCAUCCAAAUCUCUUCGAAAAAAAUUACAUAGUAUAUUCAAAAUUAAGGUGAUGUACAUUAUUUUUAAAGAUUUAAUGAAGCAAAUCAUGAGCUAAUCUAAUUUCAGGAUCGUGAGGAGAAAUUCAAAGCUGAUGCUGGUGCAGAGCAAUCGUCUGGUUUUUGUACCGCAGAUACGUUCUUUGCUGUAGUGGAUACAGUGGGUGAUGUUGCUCGUGCAGUUGGUGCAGUAGGUGCUAUCUGUGCUGGAGUUGGUGCAUUGGGUACUGUCGUUGGUGCAGUUAGUACUGUGAAUGCAACCAGGAUAAUUGUAGGUAGUGCAAUAACUGCCGUGGCUGGCUGGAAAAUUUGGCAACGCAAGUAAUUAAUCGGGUUGAUUUCUUGUACGGUCAUUUAAUUAAUAGCUGUUGAAUUGCUACUAA
rnacentral:lncRNA from 1 species